rnacentral:misc_RNA from 1 species
GAUGAAGAACGUAGCGAAAUGCGAUAAGUAAUGUGAAUUGCAGAAUUCAGUGAAUCAUCGAAUCUUUGAACGCACAUUGCGCCCCCUGGUAUUCCGGGGGGCAUGCCUGUCCGAGCGUCAUUACAACCCUCAAGCUCAGCUUGGUAUUGGGCCCCGCCGACCGGCGGGCCCUAAAGUCAGUGGCGGUGCCGUCCGGCUCCGAGCGUAGUAAUUCUUCUCGCUCUGGAGGUCCGGUCGUGUGCUCGCCAGCAACCCCCAAUUUUUUUCAGGUUGACCUCGGAUCAGGUAGGGAUACCCGCUGAACUUAAGCAUAUCAAUAAGCGGAGGA